AUUGAACGCUGGUGGCGGGCUUAACACAUGCAAGUCGAGCGGAGAUGAGGUGCUUGCACCUUAUCUUAGCGGCGGACGGGUGAGUAAUGCUUAGGAAUCUGCCUAUUAGUGGGGGACAACAUUCCGAAAGGAAUGCUAAUACCGCAUACGUCCUACGGGAGAAAGCAGGGGAUCUUCGGACCUUGCGCUAAUAGAUGAGCCUAAGUCGGAUUAGCUAGUUGGUGGGGUAAAGGCCUACCAAGGCGACGAUCUGUAGAGGGUCUGAGAGGAUGAUCCGCCACACUGGGACUGAGACACGGCCCAGACUCCUACGGGAGGCAGCAGUGGGGAAUAUUGGACAAUGGGGGGAACCCUGAUCCAGCCAUGCCGCGUGUGUGAAGAAGGCCUUAUGGUUGUAAAGCACUUUAUGCGAGGAGGAGGCUACUGAGACUAAUACUCUUGGAUAGUGGACGUUACUCGCAGAAUAAGCACCGGCUAACUCUGUGCCAGCAGCCGCCGUAA
rnacentral:rRNA from 1 species